CAUACGUCCUACGGGAGGAAAGGGGGCUCCGGCUCCCGCUAUUGGGAUGAGCUAUGUCGGAUUAGCUAGUUGGUAAGGUAAUGGCUCACCAAGGCAACGAUCCGUAGCUGGUCUGAGAGGAUGAUCAGCCACAUCGGGACUGAGACACGGCCCGAACUCCUACGGGAGGCAGCAGUGGGGAAUAUUGGACAAUGGGGGCAACCCUGAUCCAGCCAUGCCGCGUGUGUGAAGAAGGCCCUCGGGUUGUAAAGCACUUUCAGCGAGGAAGAACGCCUAUCGGUUAAUACCCGGUAGGAAAGACAUCACUCGCAGAAGAAGCACCGGCUAACUCCGUGCCAGCAGCCGCGGUAAUACGGAGGGUGCAAGCGUUAAUCGGAAUUACUGGGCGUAAAGCGCGCGUAGGUGGCUUGAUAAGCCGGUUGUGAAAGCCCCGGGCUCAACCUGGGAACGGCAUCCGGAACUGUCAGGCUAGAGUGCAGGAGAGGAAGGUAGAAUUCCCGGUGUAGCGGUGAAAUGCGUAGAGAUCGGGAGGAAUACCAGUGGCGAAGGCGGCCUUCUGGACUGACACUGACACUGAGGUGCGAAAGCGUGGGUAGCAAACAGGAUUAGAUACCCUGGUAGUCCACGCCGUAAACGAUGUCGACCAGCCGUUGGGUGCCUAGAGCACUUUGUGGCGAAGUUAACGCGAUAAGUCGACCGCCUGGGGAGUACGGCCGCAAGGUUAAAACUCAAAUGAAUUGACGGGGGCCCGCACAAGCGGUGGAGCAUGUGGUUUAAUUCGAUGCAACGCGAAGAACCUUACCUACCCUUGACAUCUACAGAAGCCGGAAGAGAUUCUGGUGUGCCUUCGGGAACUGUAAGACAGGUGCUGCAUGGCUGUCGUCAGCUCGUGUUGUGAAAUGUUGGGUUAAGUCCCGUAACGAGCGCAACCCUUGUCCUUAUUUGCCAGCGAGUAAUGUCGGGAACUCUAAGGAGACUGCCGGUGACAAACCGGAGGAAGGUGGGGACGACGUCAAGUCAUCAUGGCCCUUACGGGUAGGGCUACACACGUGCUACAAUGGCCGGUACAAAGGGCUGCGAGCUCGCGAGAGUCAGCGAAUCCCUUAAAGCCGGUCUCAGUCCGGAUCGGAGUCUGCAACUCGACUCCGUGAAGUCGGAAUCGCUAGUAAUCGUGAAUCAGAAUGUCACGGUGAAUACGUUCCCGGGCCUUGCACAACCCCGCCCCGU
rnacentral:rRNA from 1 species